rnacentral:tRNA from 1 species
GGUUGUAGCUCAGUUGGUUAGAGUGCCGGCCUGUCACGCCGGAGGUCGCGGGUUCGAGCCCCGUCACUC